UCGGGAACCUCGUCGACUACUAGCCCUCGGGAAGGCUCCGUCUUAUCAAAACUUUCUAUUUCCAUAAAAAAAUCUCUCUCUACAUUAUCAGUUACUUCUCAAAAAAUUAACGCGUUCGCGUAUUACUCAGUAUUUUUUUGUAAUCGGUGAAUAAGUGAGUUAAUAAUGGAGUCUGAGCGGCGAUUCGAUCUCUACGAGCAACAUGCGCUGGACCAGCUGAACAAGCGUAUUCUGAUUGACAUAAAAAGUCACAACUGGCUGACAGCGAAGAUAUUGAAUAAUGAUUAUAAACCCAAGGAACAAGAACUUGGCCGCCUCGUCCCCAUACAUCAAGCUCCGUUGCCAGUAAAUCACAGCACGAAAAUCAUGAAAAUUGCUUUCCUGAGGAUGGACACCAAUUACUAGGAGAAUAGAUAGUUAAUUACACAUUUUCUUUUCGUUAGAAAACUUCGUAUAAAAAAAAGGAUCUUGGUACGAACGCCGGUUGCUAUGCUGACUGUCUGGUACAUGAAGAAAACCAUCCAAAUCCUGGAACCAACUGGAUCUACUCCUACAUGGAGCAGACCCUACCGUCUGAAAAAACUACGUACUUUUAAACAAACAUAUUGCUACACAACCUGGGUACCAAGGGACACGUCAGCAUCAACAACAUCGCACACAUACUGCCUAGCUACAACGACGCCAGAAUGAUCACAUUCUGCAGGAGUUGCAGCUAUUCCGGCGAUCCUACCAAUAAUACUUUUUUAUUCAUAAUUGUAUAACAUUAGGACGCAUUAUUCUAAACUUUAGGACAAUAACGGUAGCUAAGGUAAGUUUUAAACAUCAUGUGUGCAACUGAAGUCAACACCUAAGGCUUACCGUCCACGUUGCGUCAUAUGACGAUUGCAUGCAUUCGUCAAAACCAAUAGGCGGAAUCAACGUUGCCCCGUCGUGGACAGUUUUCAUUGUUUCAUAGCAAGGUGCAAGCAUUUGUCUCUUGUUCGCCUAUUGUUUAUGAAGGAUGCAUGCAUUCGUCAAAUGACGCAGCGUGGACUACUGUCCACGCUGCCCGCACGCAGCCUGACAAGAUUUUGGGCCUGUUUCUUAAUCCCGCUAUGUACCAGAUCGAAUAAAGAACAUAAUUGGUAUAAACUAUAUCUCUCACAUAAUAAAAAAAGUGAAACAGGCACUUUAACUACAAAUCUACCGCGAAUUCAGAUGCAGUGCACAAGAGCCCUUCAAGAAACAGGUCCAAACUACAGUCGUCCAGGUAUACAGGUAAGAGAAUUUAGAUUCACUUUAUUAAUGAACAGAAGAAAAUUACAUCAUAGUGCAUCAUUU